AGCUUAGGGGAGCCAGUAUUAAUACCAGACAUGGUAAAGUCAAUUUGACAGUUCAUAGUGCCUCGGGGCAACAUAAGUAUAAUGAACUGUAUUUCGUGAAAAUUAUGGAAUCCCACAAUUAUAGUACAGACAUAGGUUUGUUGUGUCAAUGAAGAACGAUGACCUCGACAGCAAAGGGGUUUUCUCUAGUAUUACUCAAGCUGGAGUAACAAUAGAAUCAUUCAAGGAAAAUUCUGCGAUGCAAUUGAAAAUGGUGGCCAAAAGUCGAUUUGACCAUUUGAAGUUAAUGAGAAAGACUUUUGGACAACUAGGAUAUGUAUCUUUCAUGAUACAUAUGAAUAUAUUUUAUUUUGUAAAAUUCACAUUAAAUACGUAGCUUGAAGUGAUUGUCUUUAUUAGUUGAUGUAUUACAUGAAAUAUAUUCCUUUUUUCGAAGUUCAUCG